UCUUUUAGACAUUGGGUAGGGGAGCGUUCUGUAAGCCGUUGAAGGUGAAUCGUAAGGUUUGCUGGAGGUAUCAGAAGUGCGAAUGCUGACAUGAGUAACGACAAGGGGGGUGAAAAACCUCCCCGCCGGAAGACCAAGGGUUCCUGUCCAACGUUAAUCGGGGCAGGGUGAGUCGACCCCUAAGGCGAGGCUGAAAAGCGUAGUCGAUGGGAAACGGGUUAAUAUUCCCGUACUUCUUACAAUUGCGAUGGGGGGACGGAGAAGGCUAGGUGGGCCAGGCGACGGUUGUCCUGGUUCAAGUGCGUAGGCUUAAGAGUUAGGUAAAUCCGGCUCUUUCUAAGGCUGAGACACGACGUCGAGCUACUACGGUAGUGAAGUCAUUGAUGCCAUGCUUCCAGGAAAAGCCUCUAAGCUUCAGAUUGU
rnacentral:rRNA from 1 species